AAGACAGGUGCUGCAUGGCUGUCGUCAGCUCGUGUCGUGAGAUGUUGGGUUAAGUCCCGCAACGAGCGCAACCCUUGUCUCUAGUUGCCAUCAUUUAGUUGGGCUACUCUAGAGAGACUGCCGGUGAUAAACCGGAGGAAGGUGGGGACGACGUCAAGUCCUCAUGGCCUUUAUGCCUAGGGCUACACACGUGCUACAAUGGAUCGUACAAAGGGUCGCGAACCCGCGAGGGGGAGCCAAUCCCAAAAACCGGUCCUCAGUUCGGAUUGGAGUCUGCAACUCGACUCCAUGAAGUUGGAAUCGCUAGUAAUCGUGGAUCAGCAUGCCACGGUGAAUACGUUCCCGGGCCUU
rnacentral:rRNA from 1 species